rnacentral:rRNA from 1 species
UACGAGGGGGGGCAAGCGUUGUUCGGAUUUAUUGGGCGUAAAGGGUGCGUAGGCGGUUUGGCAAGUCUUGUGUGAAAUCUUUGGGCUCAACCCAAAGCCUGCACAAGAAACUGCCGGGCUUGAGUAUGGGAGAGGUGAGUGGAAUUUCCGGUGUAGCGGUGAAAUGCGUAGAUAUCGGAAGGAACACCUGUGGCGAAGGCGGCUUUCUGGUCCGAUACUGACGCUGAGGUGCGAAAGCGUGGGGAGCGAACAGG